GCAUAUCAAAGGCGUAUGAAAUGUUUCGGAGCAUAUCAAUGACAAAUGAAACAUUUCAGAACAUAUCAAUGGCAUAUGGACCAUUUCGAAGCAUAUCAAAGAAUGAAUACGAAAUAGAAGCUCAGACGUCGUACCCUAGCAUAGUGCAUGUGAGGUUUAACUCAAUGGUGGCUCCACGUCGUGAUGAGUUCUCGACUCCAUCCACGGGUAGCCUUUUGCUACUCGAGCCCUCUCACCCUACCCAAGUGCUAGGUCGGCUCUGAAUUUCAUAUCAAACAGAUAGAAGGUGAAGUGGGAUUCCAAACAUAAUAUGGUCUAUUCAUUUCUGAAUGACCACCAAACAUAAUUUAGAGCAUCGCGGGCUCUAAGCACAUACCCUUUACCAUUUCUGGCAAAGGUCCAAAUAAUCCCACAAACACCAUAGUACAAAAGGGUAUUGUGAACAAUAAAUUGGGACAUAUCGGAAGCACAUGCGGCACAACGAAAUGUAGAUGUGCCUUUAUGAAACAUUACGAUACAAACAUGAAGUUUAUAUAGCAGAUUUAGGUAUCCAAUUACAUGUAGGACAAGAGCAUACAAGAAUUCAAAGCAGUAAUAUAAAGCUCAAUUGAAUAAGAAAGCUAAAGGAUAUCAAUUUCCAAAGGAAUGAAACCAGAAUAUACGAAAUCGACCAAAGCUCGAUU
rnacentral:lncRNA from 1 species